GGGUUGUGAGGUUAAGCGACUAAGCGUACACGGUGGAUGCCCUGGCAGUCAGAGGCGAUGAAGGACGUGCUAAUCUGCGAAAAGCGUCGGUAAGGUGAUAUGAACCGUUAUAACCGGCGAUGUCCGAAUGGGGAAACCCAGUGCAAUUCGUUGCACUAUCGUUAACUGAAUACAUAGGUUAACGAGGCGAACCGGGGGAACUGAAACAUCUAAGUACCCCGAGGAAAAGAAAUCAACCGAGAUUCCCCCAGUAGCGGCGAGCGAACGGGGAGCAGCCCAGAGUCUGAAUCAGCUUGUGUGUUAGUGGAACGGUCUGGAAAGUCCGACGGUACAGGGUGAUAGUCCCGUACACCAAAAUGCACAGGCUGUGAACUCGAAGAGUAGGGCGGGACACGUGGUAUCCUGUCUGAAUAUGGGGGGACCAUCCUCCAAGGCUAAAUACUCCUGACUGACCGAUAGUGAACCAGUACCGUGAGGGAAAGGCGAAAAGAACCCCGGCGAGGGGAGUGAAAAAGAACCUGAAACCGUGUACGUACAAGCAGUGGGAGCACCUUCGGGUGUGACUGCGUACCUUUUGUAUAAUGGGUCAGCGACUUAUAUUCUGUAGCAAGGUUAACCGUAUAGGGGAGCCGCAGGGAAACCGAGUCUUAACUGGGCGUUAAGUUGCAGGGUAUAGACCCGAAACCCGGUGAUCUAGCCAUGGGCAGGUUGAAGGUUGGGUAACACUAACUGGAGGACCGAACCGACUAAUGUUGAAAAAUUAGCGGAUGACUUGUGGCUGGGGGUGAAAGGCCAAUCAAACCGGGAGAUAGCUGGUUCUCCCCGAAAGCUAUUUAGGUAGCGCCUCGUGAAUUCAUCUUCGGGGGUAGAGCACUGUUUCGGCUAGGGGGUCAUCCCGACUUACCAACCCGAUGCAAACUACGAAUACCGAAGAAUGUUAUCACGGGAGACACACGGCGGGUGCUAACGUCCGUCGUGAAGAGGGAAACAACCCAGACCGCCAGCUAAGGUCCCAAAGUCAUGGUUAAGUGGGAAACGAUGUGGGAAGGCACAGACAGCCAGGAUGUUGGCUUAGAAGCAGCCAUCAUUUAAAGAAAGCGUAAUAGCUCACUGGUCGAGUCGGCCUGCGCGGAAGAUGUAACGGGGCUAAACCAUGCACCGAAGCUGCGGCAGCGACACUAUGUGUUGUUGGGUAGGGGAGCGUUCUGUAAGCCUGCGAAGGUGUGCUGUGAGGCAUGCUGGAGGUAUCAGAAGUGCGAAUGCUGACAUAAGUAACGAUAAAGCGGGUGAAAAGCCCGCUCGCCGGAAGACCAAGGGUUCCUGUCCAACGUUAAUCGGGGCAGGGUGAGUCGACCCCUAAGGCGAGGCCGAAAGGCGUAGUCGAUGGGAAACAGGUUAAUAUUCCUGUACUUGGUGUUACUGCGAAGGGGGGACGGAGAAGGCUAUGUUAGCCGGGCGACGGUUGUCCCGGUUUAAGCAUGUAGGCUGGUUGUCCAGGCAAAUCCGGAUAAUCAAGGCUGAGGUGUGAUGACGAGGCACUACGGUGCUGAAGUAACAAAUGCCCUGCUUCCAGGAAAAGCCUCUAAGCAUCAGGUAACAUCAAAUCGUACCCCAAACCGACACAGGUGGUCAGGUAGAGAAUACCAAGGCGCUUGAGAGAACUCGGGUGAAGGAACUAGGCAAAAUGGUGCCGUAACUUCGGGAGAAGGCACGCUGGUGUGUAGGUGAAGCCCCUGCGGGUGGAGCUGAGACCAGUCGAAGAUACCAGCUGGCUGCAACUGUUUAUUAAAAACACAGCACUGUGCAAACACGAAAGUGGACGUAUACGGUGUGACGCCUGCCCGGUGCCGGAAGGUUAAUUGAUGGGGUUAUCCGUAAGGAGAAGCUCUUGAUCGAAGCCCCGGUAAACGGCGGCCGUAACUAUAACGGUCCUAAGGUAGCGAAAUUCCUUGUCGGGUAAGUUCCGACCUGCACGAAUGGCGUAAUGAUGGCCAGGCUGUCUCCACCCGAGACUCAGUGAAAUUGAACUCGCUGUGAAGAUGCAGUGUACCCGCGGCAAGACGGAAAGACCCCGUGAACCUUUACUAUAGCUUGACACUGAACAUUGAGCCUUGAUGUGUAGGAUAGGUGGGAGGCUUUGAAGCGUGGACGCCAGUCUGCGUGGAGCCAACCUUGAAAUACCACCCUUUAAUGUUUGAUGUUCUAACGUUGGCCCCUGACCGGGGUUGCGGACAGUGUCUGGUGGGUAGUUUGACUGGGGCGGUCUCCUCCCAAAGCGUAACGGAGGAGCACGAAGGUUAGCUAAUCCUGGUCGGACAUCAGGAGGUUAGUGCAAUGGCAUAAGCUAGCUUGACUGCGAGCGUGACGGCGCGAGCAGGUGCGAAAGCAGGUCAUAGUGAUCCGGUGGUUCUGAAUGGAAGGGCCAUCGCUCAACGGAUAAAAGGUACUCCGGGGAUAACAGGCUGAUACCGCCCAAGAGUUCAUAUCGACGGCGGUGUUUGGCACCUCGAUGUCGGCUCAUCACAUCCUGGGGCUGAAGUAGGUCCCAAGGGUAUGGCUGUUCGCCAUUUAAAGUGGUACGCGAGCUGGGUUUAGAACGUCGUGAGACAGUUCGGUCCCUAUCUGCCGUGGGCGCUGGAGAAUUGAGGGGGGCUGCUCCUAGUACGAGAGGACCGGAGUGGACGCAUCACUGGUGUUCGGGUUGUCAUGCCAAUGGCACUGCCCGGUAGCUAAAUGCGGAAGAGAUAAGUGCUGAAAGCAUCUAAGCACGAAACUUGCCCCGAGAUGAGUUCUCCCUGAGACUUUAAGUCUCCUGAAGGAACGUUAAAGACGAUGACGUUGAUAGGCCGGGUGUGUAAGCGCAGCGAUGCGUUGAGCUAACCGGUACUAAUGAACCGUGAGGCUUAACCUUACAACGCCGAAG
rnacentral:rRNA from 1 species